AACACCGCAUGUUCUCACUCAUAGGUGGGAACUGAACAAUGAGAACACGUGGGCAAAGGGUGGGGAACAUCACACACCGGGGCCUGUCGUGGGGUGGGGGGCUGGGGAAAGGAGAGCAUUAGGAGAUAUACCUAACGUAAAUGACAAGUUAAUGGGUGCAGCACACCAACAUGGCACAUGUAUACCUAUGUAACAAACCUGCACGUUGUGCACAUGUACCCUAGAACUUAAAGUAUAAUAAUUAAAAAUAAAAUAAAAAAAGUUGGAAAAAAAAAAGAGAAUUUCUAGAAAGGAUCCCUGGCUGGAUAGGAAUUGGAAGGACCCAUAGCUCUGUGGUUUUCUCAGAGCCUGGAUCUUGACGCCCAUGUCCACUGAGCCAGGCUCCAUGUUGGCUGGAGACUGUGCUUGGGGCACCCACACGGGUGAGGACGAGCACCCCAAGGGACCAUGCUACUGUUGAAGCCCUAAGCCCCGGUGUGAUGGCUAGAGAUGGAGCAUCUGGGAAGUGAUUAGGGUUAGAAGAGGUCAUAAGUGUGUGUCCCCCAUGAUGGGAUUUGUGCCUUGUAAGAAGAAACAUCAGAGAAGUCUCUUCUCAUGCUCUUGCUCCCUCUCGCUCCUUCUCACUCUGCCACGUGCAGACAGAGGGAGAAGACGAUCAAUAGUAAACCAGGGAGAGAACCCUCACCAGGAACCGAGUGUGCUGGCCCCAUGAUCUUAGACUUCUGGGCUCUAGAACUGUGAGAAAUCAAGUCCUACUAUUUAAGCCCCCAGUCUAUGGGACUUCACUAUGGCCGCUAAGGCUAAGACUGUACUAAAAUGAGUGUGAGCAGAGGCUGCUUAUCCAGAGCUUUCUCCAGCAAGGGGCUCACUGCUCUUACCUGCGUUCGGACGGGGGGGUGGGUGAGCUUCACGGUGGAGAAAAGGAGGCUCCAGGGAUGCUCUGGCUGGAGGCUGCUGGAGUGGGAAGCUGGAGGCGCUCAGAAGCAGGGCGUCCCAGGAGAUUGGUUGUGGGUAUCUGGCUUUUCCCAGUUGGUCCUCAGUUAGAAGCAGGGCUGAGAAUAAGGGAAGCUGGUAUUUACUGCUCAAAUCCUGACCUCUGGGACCAACUGCUGCAGAGGCCAUGCCUGGCCCCGGGGCAGUGUCUGCAGGUGCAGGUUGGAGCCCUGCCCUGAUUUAUGGCCUGGCCCUUGUCCGUGGGCACAUCCAGGCUCUCACCAGGCGCCCGUCUCGGCGUAGCUGCCCGUCUACGAACACGCAGCUGUGUACCAGGAGGGAGCACCAAGGGAGCUUCUGAAAAUGUCCUUCCGGGCUCUUCUGUGACAGAGGGGAUUUUAAUAGGGGCUUCCCGAAAACAAUCAAUCCCUUAAAUCACUGCUUCUGGGUGGGUUGGGUCAGGCAGGAGGGAAAGGAGCAUGUUUUCAGGCCAGUGGGGAUGGAGGUCCCCCCACGUGCAUGUCUUUGUGAACCUGAUGGCCCAUGGCCUCAGAGAUGCCCCAGGCAGCCCAGGAGUUGGGCUGUGGGCCUGGAGCUGGGUGCUGAGAAACCUGAUGGUGCUUUGGGAAUUCCAUAGCUGCCUGGUUGGAAGUUCAGUAUUAAAACUAAUUUAGGCCAGGUGCGGUGGCUCACGCCUGUAAUC
rnacentral:lncRNA from 10 species